rnacentral:rRNA from 1 species
AGAGUUUGAUCCUGGCUCAGGAUGAACGCUGGCGGCGUGCUUAACACAUGCAAGUCGAACGGGAAUUACUUUUUAGCUUGCUAAGUUGUAAUUCUAGUGGCGGACGGGUGAGUAACGCGUGGGUAACCUGCCUUAUACCGGGGGACAACAGUUGGAAACGACUGCUAAUACCGCAUAAGCGCACGGGAAGGCAUCUUUCUGUGUGAAAAACUCCGGUGGUAUAAGAUGGACCCGCGUCUGAUUAGCCAGUUGGCGGUGUAACGGACCACCAAAGCGACGAUCAGUAGCCGGCCUGAGAGGGCAAACGGCCACAUUGGGACUGAGACACGGCCCAAACUCCUACGGGAGGCAGCAGUGGGGAAUAUUGCACAAUGGAGGAAACUCUGAUGCAGCGACGCCGCGUGAGUGAAGAAGUAUUUCGGUAUGUAAAGCUCUAUCAGCAGGAAAGAAAAUGACGGUACCUGACUAAGAAGCCCCGGCUAACUACGUGCCAGCAGCCGCGGUAAUACGUACGGGGCUAGCGUUAUCCGGAUUUACUGGGUGUAAAGGGAGCGUAGACGGUUAUGCAAGUCUGAAGUGAAAGCUCGGGGCUCAACCCCGGAACUGCUUUGGAAACUGUAAAACUGGAGUGCAGGAGAGGUAAGCGGAAUUCCUAGUGUAGCGGUGAAAUGCGUAGAUAUUAGGAGGAACACC